rnacentral:rRNA from 1 species
UUUAAGACAUAAGUCUGCAAGGGAAACGCUUUUGUGCUUAGAGAUGGGACUGUACAGUAUCAGCUAGUUGGUAAGGUAACGGCUUACCAAGGCUAUGACGCUUAACUGGUUUGAGAGGAUGAUCAGUCACACUGGAACUGAGACACGGUCCAGACUCCUACGGGAGGCAGCAGUGGGGAAUAUUGCACAAUGGGGGAAACCCUGAUGCAGCAACGCCGCGUGGAGGAUGACACUUUUCGGAGCGUAAACUCCUUUUAUAUCCCAAGAUAAUGAC